CAGUAGCCGCGGUAAUACAGAGGGUGCGAGCGUUAAUCGGAUUUACUGGGCGUAAAGCGUGCGUAGGCGGCUAAUUGAGUCGGAUGUGAAAUCCCCGAGCUUAACUUGGGAAUUGCAUUCGAUACUGGUUAGCUAGAGUGUGGGAGAGGAUGGUAGAAUUCCAGGUGUAGCGGUGAAAUGCGUAGAGAUCUGGAGGAAUACCGAUGGCGAAGGCAGCCAUCUGGCCUAACACUGACGCUGAGGUACGAAAGCAUGGGGAGCAAACAGGAUUAGAUACCCCUGUAGUCCCUGUCUCUUAUCC
rnacentral:rRNA from 1 species